rnacentral:tRNA from 1 species
GUGUUGAUUCAAGAGCGGUUAAUGGGACGGACUUGAAAUCUGUUGGACUCUGCCCGCGCAGGUUCGAAUUCUGCUCAAGGCG